rnacentral:lncRNA from 1 species
GGCCGAAGUUCUAAAGAUCGAAAACAAAGGGGCACAACUAGUAUGGAGUACAAAUCAGCUUCAAAUCAUGUGUUGUUAAAUUGUCCGGAAGUUCAACCCUUUCUUAAGUAAGUGUUGAUGUAUGAUUAAUUUAUAUGGGCUACUAUUUAAUUUGUUUGAUGCAACUAACAAAUAAUUUUCAAUGUGUCGCUCAGUGACUUCGUGAGUCAAUUUGGUCAUGAUGUUAUAUAUUCUACAUUUGAGGCAUGGUUUAAGAUGUGUCGCUCAGUGACUUCGUGAGUCAAUUUGGUCAUGCUGUUGUAUAUUCUACAUUUGAGGCAUGGUUUAAGGAAUGUGUAAGUUCAUCUUACAUACUUUCUCACAUGUGAUUAUACAUACUUGUGAAUAUACUUGCUCACUUGUGAUUUAUUUAACAUUACAUGUAGGUCAAUAAUCCAAACAAUGGUGUUAAUAAAUUUUUGCACGACAUAUCUUGGGGACCUGCACCUAC